rnacentral:rRNA from 1 species
GCAGUGGGGAAUAUUGCACAAUGGGCGCAAGCCUGAUGCAGCCAUGCCGCGUGUGUGAAGAAGGCCUUCGGGUUGUAAAGCACUUUCAGUCAGGAGGAAAGGUUAGUAGUUAAUACCUGCUAGCUGUGACGUUACUGACAGAAGAAGCACCGGCUAACUCCGUGCCAGCAGCCGCGGUAAUACGGAGGGUGCGAGCGUUAAUCGGAAUUACUGGGCGUAAAGCGUACGCAGGCGGUUUGUUAAGCGAGAUGUGAAAGCCCCGGGCUCAACCUGGGAACUGCAUUUCGAACUGGCAAACUAGAGUGUGAUAGAGGGUGGUAGAAUUUCAGGUGUAGCGGUGAAAUGCGUAGAGAUCUGAAGGAAUACCGAUGGCGAAGGCAGCCACCUGGGUCAACACUGACGCUCAUGUACGAAAGCGUGGGGAGCAAACAGGAUUAGAUACCCUGGUAGUCCACGCCGUAAACGAUGUCUACUAGAAGCUCGGAACCUCGGUUCUGUUUUUCAAAGCUAACGCAUUAAGUAGACCGCCUGGGGAGUACGGCCG